rnacentral:rRNA from 1 species
AGUCGAACGGAAGUCGUUAUAAAAAGGAUUGAAGAUUUAUCUGAUUGAGAUUUUAUAACAAUGGCUUUAGUGGCGGACUGGUGAGUAACGCGUGAGCAACCUGCCUACUAGAGGGGAAUAACAGUGAGAAAUCAUUGCUAAUACCGCAUAUGCCAUGAACAUCACAUGAUGAAAAUGGGAAAAGAGUAAUCUGCUAGUAGAUGGGCUCGCGUCUGAUUAGAUAGUUGGUGGGGUAACGGCCUACCAAGUCAACGAUCAGUAGCCGGACUGAGAGGUUGAACGGCCACAUUGGGACUGAGAUACGGCCCAGACUCCUACGGGAGGCAGCAGUCGGGAAUAUUGCGCAAUGGAGGAAACUCUGACGCAGUGACGCCGCGUAUAGGAAGAAGGUUUUCGGAUUGUAAACUAUUGUCGUUAGGGAAGAUAAAAGACAGUACCUAAGGAGGAAGCUCCGGCUAACUACGUGCCAGCAGCCGCGGUAAUACGUAGGGAGCAAGCGUUAUCCGGAUUUAUUGGGUGUAAAGGGUGCGUAGACGGGACAACAAGUUAGUUGUGAAAUCCCUUGGCUUAACUGAGGAACUGCAACUAAAACUAUUGUUCUUGAGUGUUGGAGAGGAAAGUGGAAUUCCUAGUGUAGCGGUGAAAUGCGUAGAUAUUAGGAGGAACACCGGUGGCGAAGGCGACUUUCUGGACAAUAACUGACGUUGAGGCACGAAAGUGUGGGGAGCAAACAGGAUUAGAU